GACGAACGCUGGCGGCGUGCUUAACACAUGCCAGUCGAGCGGAAAGGCCCUGCUUGCAGGGUACUCGAGUGGCGAACGGGUGAGUAACACGUGGGUGAUCUGCCCUGCACUUCGGGAUAAGCCUGGGAAACUGGGUCUAAUACCGGAUAGGAGCCAUUUUUAGUGUGAUGGUUGGAAAGUUUUUUCGGUGUAGGAUGAGCUCGCGGCCUAUCAGCUUGUUGGUGGGGUAAUGGCCUACCAAGGCGGCGACGGGUAGCCGGCCUGAGAGGGUGGACGGCCACAUUGGGACUGAGAUACGGCCCAGACUCCUACGGGAGGCAGCAGUGGGGAAUAUUGCACAAUGGGCGCAAGCCUGAUGCAGCGACGCCGCGUGGGGGAUGACGGCCUUCGGGUUGUAAACUCCUUUCGCUAGGGACGAAGCUUUUUGUGACGGUACCUAGAUAAGAAGCACCGGCUAACUACGUG
rnacentral:rRNA from 1 species